UAAGAAGUAGGGAGUGGCCGGGCUGUUGGUCUCAUCUGCCGCUGCAGCACGUCGGGGAUUAGGGGCUGUGGCAGGCCCCCGCCGGGCCAAUGCAUUGUACCAGAGUACUGGACUACUUUCCUCAUCAGCCAAGAAUGGCAGUGGAUGUAGCCAUGCAGCUCUAUCUGUGCUCCUCCCCCUUGAGAAGAGAGAAGUACUCCUAUAAAAUAGCCCCAGAGCUAAACAAGCCAUUGCGUCCCUGCCUUCAGUUGAACAGCAAGACUGAGCUAAACAAUCCUGGAGAGGCAACUACUGUUCUGCAGGGAAAUAAGAUGAAAAAGAGGGUGUCAUUUGCUGACAGCAGAGGCUUGUCCCUGACGGUGGUGAAAGUGUUCUCCGAGUUUGAUGACACAUUGGAUAUUCCAUUCAACAUCACAGAGCUAAUAGACAAUAUUGUGGGUCUGACAACCGUAGAGAGAGACACCUUUGUCUUAGAUUUUGUGCAGCCUGCUGCAGACUACCUGGACUUCAGGAAUCGUCUCCAGGCAGAUUCUGUCUGCCUUGAAAACUGUAUGUUAAAAGAUAAGUCUAUUGUGGGCACAGUGAAGGUAAAAAAUCUUGCUUUUGAGAAGACUGUAAUGAUAAGGAUGACAUUUGACACCUGGAAAAGCCACACAGACUAUCCAUGCCAAUAUAUCAAAGACACUUAUGAAAGUUCAGACAGGGACACAUUUUCCUUUGAUAUCAGCUUGCCAGAGAGAAUUCAGUCCCAUGAAAGAAUGGAGUUUGCCAUCUUUUACAAGUGUAACGGGAAGGUCUACUGGGAUAGCAACAGAGGCACGAAUUACAGGAUCGUGCAGUCUGAACUGAAGUCUGCUCGGGAAGUGCGGCAACCUCAGGAUGACUCUGACUUUGCAAGUGCCUUUGACCAAUUUGGGAGUCCUAGGUGUUCCUAUGGCCUGUUCCCUGAAUGGCCUAGCUAUUCAGGUUAUGAAAAGUUAGGGCCUUAUUAUUAAUGUAGGUAACAGUCCCAAUUCACUAACUCUUGCUGUCCUGGCUGUGAGCUUGGGAGAUGGCUUGAACAUGCUGAUGUUUGCAAGCGAGCUGAAGAAAUGACACUUGACAUGGCUCUGCAAACUUUGUUGUGGUAAAGCAAGAUGACUGGAAGUCAGUGAUCACAGUUGGGUUUAAUGCCAUCUAAACAAGUGUCUUCCCCCUUUCUCCACCCCUCAGCUAAAUACUUGGCUCUCAAACCCCAACAGAAUGGGAGAUCUUGUUGAGUGUCUCUCCAAUGCUGCUAAUCCUGGUCUGUAUAAUGCUGCUAGUCUCCUCCAGCCAAACACUGCAGUGUUUGCAUUGUUUGCUUAGCUCUUCAGUUUUUGGAUACCAUGGUACAAAGUACUUCUAAACUGCCAUACCAUAACUGAGGAGAAGAUGCAUCCAACUUCUAAUAAAAUAGUUAUGAAAAAACAGAUAGCUCUUGUAGGGAGAGAGCAUCCUUUUUUAUCUUUACAUCAAUAAGGGGGGGUUGGACAGCAUUUUUAUGCUACAAAUCACUAACUUCAGGUAUUAAAAUAGCUGUGUGUGUAUAUAUGAAAACCAAAGUUCAACAGACUUCAUUCACUAGUUUGGAAAAGCUUUUGUGACUUUUUUUGAGAGGUUAAAUAAAGUCCUUCAUAAAAUUGUCUUUUGUAAAGACCUUCACCAAGCCUAACUUAAAACUAUGUUUAGACUGCAGAAGCUGGGCACAAUAAUUAAAGGGUUUACCUUGCCUAGAAUUUAGAAGUGUGGUGUUAGAGCAUUUUAGAUAAUAAACUAAAAAACUCAAUGGAGUUAUGUUCUAAUACUACCUAGAAAUAACACUUAAGUCAAACCCUAAAAUGCAGCAGUCUUAUGAGUCUCUAGUGCCAUGGAUAGUGGUGUGCUUUUAUUUCCCUGUAUUGGCAUAAUUGAGGAGUUUGUAGUUCCAAAGAAAUGAAACAAGCAUAUACUGUUGUACAUAAAAUGCAUAAAGCUGUGAUGUUAAUGCCAUACAAAUCCAAUAUUGUGCUGGGAACUGACUCUGACCAGUGGUGGUCUUUUAUUUUUAUUUUUAAGGUAAUAUCUUGGGUCCUGCCCUGUUUUCCUUCCCUGCCUCCCCCCUGCUCCAAUCCUUGAUCCUUUCCUUCUGCCAAUGUGAAUGUAGAAAGAGGACAGCAGUCUCUCAAUUCUAUGUCUGGAAGUGCCUUGUGAUGAUUUUGCAUGUUUUGUUUUGUUUUUUUAAAUAUUUUUGUACACGACGUUCAAGGUAAAAUGCACUUUAUAUAUAAUCACAAAAUAGUGGACUAGCAAUCUUUUUAAAAAAAUGGUUUGUUUUUAUCUGAAUGUGAAAAUAAAGGUUGAAUAAAAAAAGUG